rnacentral:rRNA from 1 species
GACGAACGCUGGCGGCGUGCUUAACACAUGCAAGUCGAGCGGUAAGGCCCUUUCGGGGGUACACGAGCGGCGAACGGGUGAGUAACACGUGGGUGACCUGCCUUUAGCUCUGGGAUAAGCCUGGGGAACCGGGUCUAAUACCGGAUAUGACUCCGCGGCGCAUGUUGUGGGGUGGAAAGCCUUGUGCGGCUGGAGAUGGGCCCGCGGCCUAUCAGCUUGUUGGUGGGGUGAUGGCCUACCAAGGCGACGACGGGUAGCCGGCCUGAGAGGGCGACCGGCCACACUGGGACUGAGACACGGCCCAGACUCCUACGGGAGGCAGCAGUGGGGAAUCUUGCGCAAUGGGCGAAAGCCUGACGCAGCGACGCCGCGUGAGGGAUGACGGCCU